GUUUUCAAAGAAAAAACAUUACUUUCAUAUUUCAAAAAGUAAUUUUCUUUGAAAAAAGAAAAAGAAAAAAGCCAACUCAUACACAAGCAUGUACACAAUAAAAAAUAGAAAAAAGAAAAGAAGAAAUAGAAAAAAGGGGAAUUAGAUAGAUUGCUUUUAAAUAGAAACACGUGCCAGUGCAAAAACGGCCGUUAGCGGUUUCGGUUUCUCAGCACCUUGGGGCCGCAAUCCCAAACCGGCGACUCAUUCUCUCUCUAACCUUAUUCUUCUUCUUCCUGUUGUAGACCCCACACUUGCAUUCCUUUUCUUUCUCUUUCUGUUAAAUUAUUAUAAUUUUUUCUUUUUUAUGACUCUAUAAAAGGCCCACGAUAUAAACCCAGCACAGCAUUACCAUUAACCCCAUUUUUAUUAUAUUAUUUUAUACUGUAUAUUACACACUCUCUCUCUCUCUCGCCAGCGAAUAUAACCAGAAAAACAAGAGUGUGCGUGCGUGCGUGCGUGCGUGAGCUGAGUGAGAACCAAAGUAACCAAAGCAAGAAAGAGAAAAAAUUGCAACUGGGUUUUGAUUCUUAUACAGAAUUGUUCUCUCACAACACUUAAAAGUUCCAUUCUUUCUUGCUCACUCAAUUUCAACAUGUUGGAGGGAUCUUAUAUCGCCUCAAGGGGAUUACCAGCCUCAUGUGAGCAAGAGAGCCAAUGGAUUUACAAUUCUUUGCGUGUUGUUGAGCUCUCCAGCAAGCGCCGGAUGGAAGAUGAAGAUGCUGUAUCAAGAAAGGCAGCUAGGCCUUUAGACACAAAGGAGAGACAGGAAAACAUGGAAGGUCUAGAAGUUCUUCCUGCCUUGCAAACUGAUCAACCAGAUAAUCAGAAUCAAACAGAGGGACUGCCUGCUCUUUCUAUUAUGCAGUCUGAUCAAUCCAGUCAGCAUCAAGCAAUGGGUGUGGGUUUGAGUGGCCUUUCUGCUAUGCAAACUGAUCAGCCAGUUAAUCAGCAACAAGCGGAAAAUCUGCUUGUUCUUUCCAUUGUGCGAUCUGAUCACCCAGAGCACCAUCAAGUGGCAGGUCUGAGUGGUCUUUCAGUUGUGCAAAUUGAUCAGACCGAUAAUCAGCAUCAAGUGGCAGGUAUUCAUGUUCUUUCAGUUGUGCAAACUGAUCAACGGCAUAAUCAGCAACAAACAGAUGGCCUGCAGGGUUUUUCUGUCAUGCAAGCUAAUCAAGCAGAUAAUAAGGAUCAAGCAGAGGACAAGUCAGAUUCAAGUUCACUUAUUAGUGAACUAGGUCGAGAAUUGUCAAUAAGCUGUCUCCUUCAUUGCUCAAGGUCUGAUUAUGGCAACAUUGCUUCAUUGAACAAAAGCUUCCAGUUUGUAGUUCGGAGCGGUUUGCUGUAUAAGCUGAGGAGGGGUAUGGGUUAUGUUGAGCAUUGGGUAUACUUCUCAUGCAACCUCCUUGAAUGGGAGGCCUUUGAUCCUAUUCGCCGCCGAUGGAUGCAUUUGCCAAGAAUGAAUUCCAAUGAAUGCUUCAUGUGUUCGGACAAGGAAUCUUUGGCUGUUGGUACGGAACUGCUUGUGUUUGGGAAGGAAAUUGAGUCUCAUGUUAUUUACAAAUAUAGCAUCUUAACGAACACGUGGACAUCCGGCAUGAAGAUGAACACACCUCGAUGCCUGUUUGGGUCCGCUAGUCUGGGAGAAAUUGCAAUUCUAGCUGGCGGUUGUGAUCCAUGUGGCAAUAUUUUGAGCUCAGCCGAACUUUAUAAUUCGGAAACCGACACAUGGAUUACCAUUCCAAGCAUGCAUAAAGCCAGGAAAAUGUGUUCUGGAGUAUUUAUGGAUGGGAAAUUUUAUGUUAUUGGUGGAACUGGGACAGGUAAUACAAAGAUGCUGACCUGUGGAGAGGUGUAUGAUUUGGCAACAAAAACAUGGCUUGUGAUACCUGAUAUGUUCCCUGCACGAAAUGGAGGGACGGGGAGAAAUGAAACACCUGCUGCAGCUGAGGCACCUCCUUUAGUUGCAGUUGUAAAUAAUGAGCUUUAUGCAGCUGACUAUGCACACAAGGAGGUGAGAAAAUAUGACAAAAGAAAGAAUCUGUGGAUUGCACUCGGCGGGCUGCCUGAACAUGUAGUUUCAAUGAAUGGUUGGGGAUUGGCCUUUAGGGCAUGUGGUGAUCGGCUAAUUGUUAUAGGUGGACCUAGGACUUUAGGUGGGGGAAUGAUUGAGCUUAACUCUUGGGUUCCAGGUGAAGGCCCCCCAAAGUGGAAUUUGCUUGCAAAGAAACCUUCAGGGAGCUUCGUGUAUAAUUGUGCUGUGAUGGGAUGCUGAGGUGCAGUUUUAUCAACACCAAGUAUAAAGCACGGAGUCCUCUAUGUGGAACAUAGGUUUCCAAAAGAUGGGAAUCUGGACAUUGGGUGAUGGUGCUAAGCACCUGCAAACCUUCCUGUUGACCUCAAGACUUGUGAUGCAGGGGUCAACUCUAACCAUGCUUGGGCCAGCUUGUUUAUUUUUGCGUACGACAAGACCUUUGACUAGUCAACAGAAAGCUUCAAGGUGCUUACAGUUGCCCUGCAUUGAGGGAAGCUUCAAAUUCUUUGGCAUAAAACAUAGCUGGGGCAGAAUCCCAGAUUGAAAAACCAACUUAAUCAGCAGUUAGUCGGUGAACAAGAGAAGUGGGCAUUAAUCCUAUCGUACAUCAUGAUCUUUCUGCAGCCAAGAAAAGAAGCUAUUGGGCCAAAUUCUAGUCAAGAAUUACUAUAUAUGUCGAGCCGAGUUCUCCAUCUGCUUCCAUUUUAACCGCAAUGAAUUGUUGAGCUGGAAAUGAGUGGUACAGAAAAGAAAGCUGAGGGCUCGACAUUGAUUAUUUAGAUUGUAUCUGUUUCUUGGUAGAAAAAGAAAGUGGAAUAAGAGUAGCCAAGUAACUAAUCCCAAUAUCCCAUCCCAUCAAACUUCGGCUGGGAUUUGUACACCAAAAAAGAAGGUGAAAAUGGGAGAAAGAACAGGCAAGAAUGUCUGAAAUAGCGAGUUUUGCUGUCGACUGUCCUGUACGUCAUGAACAAUGGAACAUUUAUAAUCUUGAACUUGUGUACUUCUGUUGUGACAUCAGAAAAAGUUGGUUUAUGUGCAUGGUGGGGAACUGGGGACGGAGUUUAGUGCCCGAUAAGAGGACAAAGUGCCAAAAAGGCUGUUCCCUUGUUUUGUGUCUGCUCGUAUUUGUGAUUUCCAAUACUGUUCUUGCUUUUAGUCUGUUUCUAUUUUACUUAGUUGAAUUUGCUGCAUGAAAAAUCCUUUAUUUUUUUUCCUCUCUGUACUACUUGCUUCUAUCUGCUGCACGCAGACACAGUUGGUCCUGUUAGUCGCAAACAACUUUUCAUGUAUUUCUUUCUUUCAAAAGUCAAAACAAUUUAAUUGAACAGA